rnacentral:rRNA from 1 species
UGCUCCCUGAUGUUAGCGGCGGACGGGUGAGUAACACGUGGGUAACCUGCCUGUAAGACUGGGAUAACUCCGGGAAACCGGGGCUAAUACCGGAUGGUUGUCUGAACCGCAUGGUUCAGACAUAAAAGGUGGCUUCGGCUACCACUUACAGAUGGACCCGCGGCGCAUUAGCUAGUUGGUGAGGUAACGGCUCACCAAGGCGACGAUGCGUAGCCGACCUGAGAGGGUGAUCGGCCACACUGGGACUGAGACACGGCCCAGACUCCUACGGGAGGCAGCAGUAGGGAAUCUUCCGCAAUGGACGAAAGUCUGACGGAGCAACGCCGCGUGAGUGAUGAAGGUUUUCGGAUCGUAAAGCUCUGUUGUUAGGGAAGAACAAGUGCCGUUCAAAUAGGGCGGCACCUUGACGGUACCUAACCAGAAAGCCACGGCUAACUACGUGCCAGCAGCCGCGGUAAUACGUAGGUGGCAAGCGUUGUCCGGAAUUAUUGGGCGUAAAGGGCUCGCAGGCGGUUUCUUAAGUCUGAUGUGAAAGCCCCCGGCUCAACCGGGGAGGGUCAUUGGAAACUGGGGAACUUGAGUGCAGAAGAGGAGAGUGGAAUUCCACGUGUAGCGGUGAAAUGCGUAGAGAUGUGGAGGAACACCAGUGGCGAAGGCGACUCUCUGGUCUGUAACUGACGCUGAGGAGCGAAAGCGUGGGGAGCGAACAGGAUUAGAUACCCUGGUAGUCCACGCCGUAAACGAUGAGUGCUAAGUGUUAGGGGGUUUCCGCCCCUUAGUGCUGCAGCUAACGCAUUAAGCACUCCGCCUGGGGAGUACGGUCGCAAGACUGAAACUCAAAGGAAUUGACGGGGGCCCGCACAAGCGGUGGAGCAUGUGGUUUAAUUCGAAGCAACGCGAAGAACCUUACCAGGUCUUGACAUCCUCUGACAAUCCUAGAGAUAGGACGUCCCCUUCGGGGGCAGAGUGACAGGUGGUGCAUGGUUGUCGUCAGCUCGUGUCGUGAGAUGUUGGGUUAAGUCCCGCAACGAGCGCAACCCUUGAUCUUAGUUGCCAGCAUUCAGUUGGGCACUCUAAGGUGACUGCCGGUGACAAACCGGAGGAAGGUGGGGAUGACGUCAAAUCAUCAUGCCCCUUAUGACCUGGGCUACACACGUGCUACAAUGGACAGAACAAAGGGCAGCGAAACCGCGAGGUUAAGCCAAUCCCACAAAUCUGUUCUCAGUUCGGAUCGCAGUCUGCAACU